UGUUACUCGUAAUUUUACACC
ensembl:piRNA 21ur-2083 ncRNA